AUUUACAGAAAAAACUUGGUGAUGUCCAGCAUAAAAAAACUAUGAAAAAUGCACAAACCCAAGUUGCUAAUGAUCAUCCAGUUUUGAAGUUAGAUAAAAAAAAAAUUAGAAUUUUGCUGGAAGAGCUUUGGAGUUGCAUAGAGUCUUCAACUGAAAACAGUGAUGGGGAUAAACUAAUGCUAG